UACCCGCUGAACUUAAGCAUAUCAAUAAGCGGAGGAAAAGAAACCAACCGGGAUUACCUCAGUAACGGCGAGUGAAGCGGUAAAAGCUCAAAUUUGAAAUCUUCGGAGUUGUAAUUUGCCGGCCGGGAGCAGUGGGCGCCAAGUCUGCUGGAACGCAGCGCCAUGGAGGGUGAUAGCCCCGUCGCCACACACGUUCAGCUCCCGCGCCCAAGAGUCGGGUUGUUUGGGAAUGCAGCUCAAAGCGGGUGGUAAAUUCCAUCUAAGGCUAAAUACAGGCGAGAGACCGAUAGCGAACAAGUACAGUGAUGGAAAGAUGAAAAGCACUUUGAAAAGAGAGUGAAACAGUACGUGAAAUUGUUGAAAGGGAAGGGUGUGAAGUGGGGUGCAGAGGGGCGCAGCGGCGGGCCAGACCUUUGGCGGCGCGCGGGUACGUGUCUUUGGCCCACUUCCCACCACCCGUCUUGAAACACGGACC
rnacentral:rRNA from 1 species